UACGUAGGGGCCAAGCGUUGUCCGGAUUUAUUGGGCGUAAAGAGCUCGUAGGCGGUUCGGCAAGUCAGCUGUGAAAUCUCCACGCUCAACGUGGAGGGGUCAGCUGAUACUGCUGUGACUCGAGUCCGGUAGGGGAGUGUGGAAUUCCCGGUGUAGCGGUGAAAUGCGCAGAUAUCGGGAGGAACAUCAGUGGCGAAGGCGGCCCUCUGGUCCAGUACUGACACUCAAGUGCGAAAGCGUGGGGAGCAAACAGG
rnacentral:rRNA from 1 species